UUAGGAUUCAUUACUUUAAACAUAUGAAGCUACCGACAAUUCUUAGCUCCAAAGUCUAUAUAGGUUGAAAGAGAAGUGGGCUAGAUGUUAUAUGAAAUCUACAGUGACCUUGAGGAUACGUAGUACACAGUUGAGUGAGAGUUUGAAUGGAGAUUUGAAAGAUUAUCUUGCAUGUAAUAUAAAUCUAAAUGGAUUUUUCAAUAGAUUUGAUAAGGUGGUAAGCGAUAAGUGGUACAAAGAGUUACAGGCUGAGUUUAAUGCUAGAGAGAAAUUGCCAACGAUUUUGUCUCAGACAUCACCUAUAUUGUAGCAAGCAAGUAAGGUCUAUACACCUUCAAUCUUUGAAAAUUUUUAGACAGAAUGGAUGAAAGCUUUAUUCCUGGUUAUCAAGGAACGUAAUGAGAUGGAUCUCUUGCGGGAAUAUGUUGUUGGUUCAUUUGGUACAAAUGAUCCAGAGUACAAGGUCACGGGUGGCCCAAGCAACGAAGUGGUGAAUUGUGCUUGUAAUCAUUUUGAGACCAUUGGGAUCUUAUGUUGCCAUGUGUUGAAGGUUCUUGAUAACGUGGACAUAAAGUUAAUUCCUAGUGCUUACAUUUUAAAGAGAUGGACACGUGAAGUAAGAGAUGGAAUACUAGAGAAGCAUGGUUUAGAUACUCAUAGGAAUGGUGACAUGGAUGCUACUGAUAGAUAUAGAGAGGUGUGUCAUGAGUUUGUGAAGAUAGCAGUCAAGGGCUCAUAAACUAUUCAGAGAUAUGAAUUUAUCAAGAUAAUGAUCUAGACCAUAAACAAAUCUCUCGAUGAAAUGCCACUUGGAGGUGAGUCUCGGAGAAAUUUGGCAAGCUUAAGUGAAGAUACGAGUCUCGUUGCAAAAUGUAUGGGCCUCAAGAAGAAAGAUGGACACAAAGGAGGAAAGCGGCAUAAGAGCUGUCUAGAGAAGAAUAAAACAAAAAGAAAGAAGCAAGGAGACGCACCUCAAGCUUCUUCACAAGCUUCUUGUGCACCUCAAGUUCUUGGAAGUUACAAUAACCCCCCGGGUUUUUACAGUAAUCUACUCAGUAGGUUUGAGGCACCAUGAGACUUCAGUAUGCCUUCCAUGAUAGCACCGCUUGAUGACGGGCUUAUGAGCCUGGCUAUGCAGCCCCACCAGUUCCCCUUGAACUUAGAAGAUGCAGCCCCACCUCAGGUUCAUCUAUUUCAAAAAGAUGCUAUGAUUUCAGGUUAUGAAAUUUGGAAAUGAGAAUCAAAUCAAUUUUAUUGCUUCGAAAGUUCAUGGAGCAUUUGCUGCAGCUCCUCCUGAAGCACAGAUUGAGCUUUUCAACUCUUUGAUUGAUAGAGAGGUUGUCA